AAAUAAUAUAAUUUAAUUUAAUUAGUAUAAAUUAAUUUACAAUAAUUAAUUUUAAUUUAAAAUUUAUUAGGUGAAAUUUAUAAAUUUUAAAAAAAUUUUUUUUAAUGAAGUUAAGAAAUUUAAUUAAUAAACUAGGAUUAGAUACCCUAUUAUUUUAAAUGUACUUUUAUAUAUUAAAUUAGUAUUAGUUAUGUUCUUGAAAAUUAAAGAUUUUGGCGGUAUUUUAGUCUAUUCAGAGGAACCUGUUCUAUAAUUGAUAAUCCACGAUUUAAUUUACUUUUUUUUUUAGUUUGUAUAUCGUCGUAAUUUGAAUAUUUUAUAAGAAUGAUAAUAUUCAAGAUUUUUAAACAUAAAAAUAAAUCAGAUCAAGGUGCAGUUUAUAAAAAAGAAGAAAUGGGUUACAAUAAAAUUAUUUAAGGAGUAUUAUUUAUAAAAUAAUAUGAAUUUGGAUUUGAGGGUAAAUUUAAUUAAUUAAUUAAAUUGAUUUUAGCUCUAAAAU
rnacentral:rRNA from 1 species